GAUGAUCCCUGUGGAAACCAUGUCCAUCUUCUGGCCAGUCAUUACUGUAAAAGUCUUCUCAGCCAACAGGGACGCAGGCCAUGAAGCUUCACGUUUCCCUUCGCCCUCACUUCCGUAGAGAUUACAACACCAAUUAGACUGCUGUUUCCUGACAUUCUCCCAUCAAAGCGGUUGGUUUUAUUUUUCACAUCAAAGAGUCAGAAUCUUCUCUGAACCCAGCCAUAAUGGAAAUGGCAACAAAGACCAAAGAAAACAAGGAGAGUGUUCCCAUUAACACUCUAGAGAUAUACAAUUGUUUAUUGUCUUUCUUUCAUCUCUUUUUUCCCUCUUUUGUGUAUCAUUGCUUAUUAUUCUGACACAACGUGAGAGA